rnacentral:rRNA from 1 species
UUGGGAGCUCACUGGCUUCGGAGUCGUAGGAACUCCGAAGUUAAGCGAGUUGGGGGCUAGAGCAAUCCCAAGAUGGGUGACCCACUGGGAAGUUGCUCGUGAGCUCCCAGA